rnacentral:tRNA from 1 species
GUGGGCGAAGGCAAACGGUGCGCCGCGGGUCUGUGAAUCCCGUUCUCGCCGGUUCGACUCCGGCCGCUCACCCCA